CCCCUUCCCUCCACAGCCGCCUCUUUCUCGCCCCCUCCCGUGCUGCAAUCUACCUCUCGUCGAAGUCGAGUCGACCACGACGGUCAGUCUUCCUUGUCGUUCAAUGGUUGCCGUGACCUCCAUGGACAAAGAUGCUAGUUCUUGAUUUAGGAUAAUAAAUGCAUACUCUGUACCUUAUGGAUUUCUGAGCAAUGGAAUUAUUAGUGCGGUAAAAUUUCUGCGAUUUUGAAUCGUUGAAGGUCGGUUUCUGUAGCAGUAACAUUAGGCACUUGCUUUUCUGUCGCUAAAAGUCAUUUCCUAGCUGUAAUUCCCCAUAAUUAUUCUCUUGUGCGCCCAGUCUCUGUAAUUCUAAAGAAAAUCCAUUUAUGGGGUAGGUGAUUUAAACUUAUUAACCCUUGAUAUUUGUUCAUUUGAUGAACAAAAACGAUGCCCUAACAGAAAGAUGAGAUUUCUACAACUGCUCAGCCAGUGCCAAUACCUUGCCUACACUAGGAGAGAAGCCUUGGUCUAUGCGAAUGGUGGAGGAACUCUGAGUCUAUGGAGUUUAGGGUUUAAGCAGUUAUUCUCUUCGUACAGAGAGGAGCCAGAGCUCAAGGACUUCAUUGAUUACUUGGAUUCUCUCAAGAACUAUGAGAAAUCAGGCGUUCCCAAGGACGCGGGUACAGAUUCAGACGAUGGCUUUGAUCUUGGUCGCAUGCGGCGGCUUAUGGACCGUCUGGGGAAUCCGCAGUCGAAGUUUAAGGCCAUCCACAUUGCCGGGACCAAAGGAAAAGGAUCAACUGCCGCCUUUCUCUCUAACAUCUUACGGGCAGAAGGCUAUUCAGUUGGUUGUUACUCUAGCCCCCAUAUUAUAACUAUAAGGGAGCGGAUUGCAAUGGGAAAAUUUGGUGAGCCGGUAUCAGCAAAGGCAUUAAAUUGUCAUUUCCAUCAGAUUAGGCAGAAGCUUGAUGAGGCUAUCCAACUAGAAAAUGGAUGUUUGAGUCAUUUUGAGGUUCUUACUGCCAUUGCAUUCUCCCUGUUUGCUCAAGAGAAUAUUGACAUUGCAGUUAUUGAGGCUGGUCUUGGAGGUGCUCGAGAUGCUACAAAUAUAAUUUGUAGUUCUGGACUUGCUGUAUCAGUCAUUACUAGUAUAGGUCAGGAACAUUUGAUGGCACUGGGGGGUUCUCUAGAAAGCAUUGCAAUGGCAAAGGCUGGAAUAAUUAAGCAUGGUCGUCCAGUUAGGUGAUUCUCCUCUCACUUAUAAUUAGUGCUGAUUUAAUUGGUGGCAGCUUGUUGAUAUUUAUACUUUUUUUGGAACUCCCUCAUGCUUAAACCUUAUGUAUAAAUGCUUUCGUAGAUGAAGCAAAUUUGGCUUAUUAGUAUUCCUCAUCCAAAUAUUAUGGUUGAUAAAAUAACUGAAAUAAUAAGAUCAAUAAAUGCUGUAUCUUAAAGUGGCAGAGCAAUGAGAUAGUGUUCACUCGUGCAUACCUUAGAGUAGCAAAGAUUUUGCAAAUCUUUGACUGUUGAUUGAGCAAAUCACUCUGUUGUUGCAUAAUUCAAUGGUCUUGUGGACCUUUUUCAUUAUUUUGUUUUAGUUUGUAUCACACUCUGCAGUGUUUAAGUGGCUUGAAUCUUCAGGUAGUACUUGGUGGGCCUUUUCUUCCUCAUAUUGAGCAUAUUCUUUGCAAUAAGGCAUCAUUGAUGCGUGCUGCUGUAAUAUCAGCAUCUGAUUCUGCAAUCCAAACUAUCAUUAAAGGCUUUAGGAUGUUUGAUGGUAGACUAUGCCAGUUGUGUGACAUAAGGAUUCAAGUCGAGAGGGAUUUCCAUCUGGUAUGUUAGAUUACUAUUUCUUGGGCAUCCUAAAGCUUUUACAUCUUUAACUCUUUCAACGCUAUUACUAAAACCUUUAUCUAUUCUAAUCUUGUUAGAUUGCCAUUGGGUAAUUGUGCCUUUUUUCAUCUAUCAAUGUUGAAGUUUUUACAAAAUAAUGAUUAUAUUGACGUAUGCAGUUUAUUGAGAUAUCUGACUUGAAAAUGCGCAUGCUUGGAAGUCACCAACUCCAAAAUGCAGCUACUGCAACAUGUGCAGCACUGUGCGUCCGCAACCAAGGUGUACUCUUAUCUUCGUGUUUGUUAUAUUUUGCUUUAUUUUAAGCUUUUCUGAAGUAAAACCAGAAGUUUUCAUUUGAUAGUUGAUGUUAAAACUUCUGGUCUGAGAUUGCAUCCAUGGGCGCUGUAGGGUGAAAUCAGAAGUUGAAGUAUAAUCCUGACUGAGGUUUAUUAGUUUUCCUACCCUUCUCUUUAUCAUGUAUGGUAACAAAAUGGUGAAGGCUCCUUAGAAAGAGCCUUCUGAUCUAUGAGCAUUAAGGAGCUCAACCCUUUUUUUUUUUAAAUUUAUUCUCAUAAAAUCCCUAUAUAUACAGUAAAGGACUUCCUAUUUAGAAAAAUGAUAACUCCUAGUCAGCUCAUAAAUAGCAAAUGCAGGACUUCGUAUUUAGAAAUAACUACUGAUAUUAACUAAAUAGCUAACUAACUCCUCUUACUUUUCCCAUGCUUAUAUCACAUUUAAGCAGUGUUGUUAAAGGUGCAAAAAGGCAUCAGGCGAGGUGAGAUGACGCUG
rnacentral:misc_RNA from 1 species